UACGUAGGGGGCAAGCGUUGUCCGGAUUCAUUGGGCGUAAAGAGCGUGUAGGCGGCCAGGUAGGUCGGUUGUGAAAACUAGAGGCUUAACCUCUAGACGUCGAUGGAAACCGUCUGGCUAGAGUCCGGAAGAGGAGAAUGGAAUUCCUGGUGUAGCGGUGAAAUGCGCAGAUAUCAGGAAGAACACCCGUGGCUAAGGCGGUUCUCUAGUACGGUACUGACGCUGAGACGCGAAAGCGUGGGGAGCGAACAGG
rnacentral:rRNA from 1 species